UGUACCUUAGGAAAGACAGACCUGAGUUACAGCAGAGUUGGAGCAAUGUGUGGGAGAGACAAAGCCACAGACUGCUCCGAGCCCUAAGGAAAAUUACAGACUUUGGGUGGAGCGGGACAAAGAUCCUGGUGGGAGCCACAACAGGGAAGGGACAACACUGAUGUGUGCAAGUACCUCCCAGCACAAGCCAUCAACUCUCCGGACUUGAUGCAGGGGAGUCCAUCCUCGUAGUUUUGUUCCUCAGGGGGUACCACGGCCCAGCGCUGUUCCCAGAGCCACGUUAUUCCCUUUGAGAGCCCCAUGACAACUGCUGAUGAGAGCAAGGCGAAUUUCCUCCAGUUGCUGCCUGCCAUAGAACAGUAGUCUUAGUCAUCAGUUCAAUGAGUGCCAUAACAGCGAGAGGCUAUUAUGAAGCCUUCAAUCCAAGGACACUUCACUGCAGUCGGGAGAUCUGUAGUGAAUAGACCAUAAUAGCAGCGUGCCAAGAAAUGGGCCAGGAGUGCCUUUAAAAGCAACUCUCACUGCUGUAAGAAAUGCCCUGAAUUAGGCUGUGCCAGCCAGAAGGGUAGAAGACACUUGCGCCAUGGUGCCUCUGGAGCCCAAAAGCCAAAGGGACGUUGCAUUUGCCUCCCAAGGGUACAUGCGAAAGGACGUGGCUUUGCUGUGGUGACACAGCACACGCAGACUCCUUCCCUUCCAGCUUACGCACAUCUGUUAAGCAGCAAAGUUGCUCCCAAGAAGGGAUCAGAAGCAAGCGGUCUCUGUGCCACCCCUGUGAGGAGCGGGUUUUCCACAGCAGCAGCGUACCUGGCACACUCCUCUCGUGCUUUGGAUGACGCUGUUUCCUGGAAGAGGGAGCCACUCUGCUUGAAAAAUGGCUCAUACUUCUCUGUUCCACCUGCUGGAUAAAUGCGCCGGUAACCGCCCAGGUGCGAGUUCUCGUACUUCUCUGCCUGAGACAGCCAGGCAGCCUGGCUGCUCUCUAACUCCUCGCGUCUGCAAAGCGGGAGAAAGCACAGGCAGGGAGCUGCGACCGGAGGCUCCAGGUGCUGUGCCGGCUGAAGGACAAGGGCUUUCCCCAUCUGGGAGCAUGUUUCACACAGGUGCACUGCAGGGAACCAACACAGCCCACACCUCUUCAUCCUCUACCUGUGGAGCACUGGUGAAUCAUUUCCAGAUCUCUCCCCUGCAGCCCAGGCUCACACCCUGCCCCUCAGCCUUUUCACCCAACUAACCCAGUUAAGAAAAGUUCAGUUAAAAUGUGCCUAUUCAAGGCAUAUCUGCCACCCUGCAUGCUGCUGGGAGCCUUCCUUGCUAGCAGGGAGCUUGGGGCAGCCAAGGCUGCAGGGACAGGCAGAGGACAGAGCUAACACGCUCAGUGUCUCCAGCCCCGACUUAUCUCAGGUAUCCUAAUUGAAAUGGGAGCUGGAGGGAGUUCCUGCCUCACCCUGCAUGGCAGGAAAAGCCCAGGCAGCAGGCUCAUCCAACAUGGCCUCAUGAAAGGACAUGCAGACAGAGAAGCAGGAGGAAACCUUCAGCCCUGGGAAAGGAACCCCACUCUGGAGAAGGGCCCUGUGUCCCUGGAUGCUCUUGGUCCCUGAAGCAGUCUUGUCCUGGGACCAUCGCUGUGAGCCCAGGGAUGCCGGCACUGCCGGACAUGACAAGCAGGCACAGCUCGAUGGGUUGACUCUGUAGAGGGCCCAGAGCCACAGGUGUCUCAGAUCUCCUAGCACCCAGAGAUGAGCCCUGGCUCUUCCUUGCAGGAUGAAGGUGGCUUGGGAGAUCUCUUCUCAGAGGCUAUGUAGUGCCCUGGCCUCUGAGAGCUUUAAUUUGGAGACAGCCAGCCUUGUUUUUUUAUCCUGCUCCACUAUGCCUCAUCUUUUCUCGUGGGGGACCUGCAGCACUAUGGGGAAGGGCGAUACCUGGAUGCGCGGAGAGUCUGAUGGGCCUGGAGGAGCCGUUCUUUUGCCCGCUGUUUGUCUUCCUCCAGCACCUUCCUUUUGUUACAGGCGUGCACAUUUAUCAGGUUGAUGGUAUCACAGAGAAGAGCGUCCUUCACCUCACGGUCUAGGCGAGAGUCUGUGGUGAAGCUGGGAGAGUGGUUCACCUGCCAAAAGAAGCAACUAAUCUAACCUGGCACGUCCUCCCAGAAAACGCUCCCUGGCCCCAGUCUGUCCCACCGCACACUCUCCAAGUGUGUUCUUCCCUGUAACAGCAACAGAAAGCAGGAGGCUGCACGCAGUGCCUGGUUCUGUCCUGCAACAUAGUGCCCAUCCGCACUGCAGGUCAUUCGGAUCCCACACCCCGCAGGACUACAGGUGUGGGGCAGCUAUCAUAAAUUCAGGGUGCUGUUACAGGCAAAGGAGUGCUAAGGUUCAGGAAACUCCCUGCUGUUAGAGAGGGUGCAGAAGGAAAAGGCUCUUAGACCCCGCUUAGCCUGCAGUGGGUUGCUUGGCUACUUGUCUUCACAGCCUGUUUAAUUUUGUGAACACGGUGGCCCUUUUUAAUCAAAUGAGUUCUGUUCAUCCCACCACCCCUUGUUCUCUGGCCUCCCCCAGACAAGCCAGCUCUUGGCUCGCUGCUGUUUCCAGAGUUGCUUCAACAUGGCAGGAGACUUCUUCCUCACCUCUAGGAGCCAAGGCUUCAACUUUCUGUCUAGCAAAAUAUCAAAACCCAGUAUCUCAAAGCAGGCACAGCCAGUAGUGUGGUUUGGAAAGCAGCUUUGGUAAUUGUGCUUCACAACAGGGUGAGCUGAAAUAAGAGUCUUUAUAAUAA